UUUUUUUAUGAAAUAAAGCCGUUAGUUUUCUCGUUUGAAUUGUUUUACAUUGUCAUAUCGGGGCCUUUUAUAGCUGACUAUGCGGUAUGGGCUUUGCUCAUUGUCGAAGGCCGUACGAUGACCUAUAGUUGUUAAUGUCUGUGUCAUUUUGGUCUCUUAUGGACAGUUGUCUCAUUGGCAAUCAUACAACAUCUUCUUUUUUAUA
rnacentral:lncRNA from 1 species